GUAUUGGGUUAAUAUCGGGUUGUUGUGGAAGUUCCUGCUGCCUUGUUCCUGUAGUAUUGCGACGAAGAUGCUACGAAUCUACGUCUUGGUGAUUUUUAUAACUUUAUCAUGGCACCCGACAAACGCUUCAGUAAACUUGAGUCUCAACAAGCCUACCAAUCAGAGUAGCCUCUACGGUGCGUGGACGAGUAACUUAGCAGUGGAUGGCUGUAAACAGCAACAAGUUAACACACAUUGUUGUAUACAUACCAGUCAUUUAGGGUUUAAAGAAGCCUGGUGGCAAGUGAAUCUACAGCAGGAGGCUGUCAUAGAAAACGUCCUGAUAUACUACAGAGAUGGGUGGGAGCAUCGACUGGGAGGCUACGAAAUAAUUCUCUCAAACACAAGUGAAUGGGCACCAGGCCAAUAUUGCUACACAGAUAAAACUCCCACCAAAUGCGCUCUACCGAGCAUCCGAAACAACACAUGUCAAGGAAUCGGCCAGUAUGUUACCAUCUACGUAGACCGGCGGAUAAAACUGCGGAGCUGGUACUCAACCAACGCCAUUCUGGAGCUUUGUGAAGUGGAAGUCUAUGGUUGCCCCCCUGGUCAAUACGGCAAUGGCAAUUGCUACCUGACCUGUGAUGCGAGUUGUGUAGACGGAAUCUGUAAUCCCUCCACUGGUACAUGUCUCCGUUGUGGUCCAGGAUACUAUAAAGGUGGACGGAGAUGUUCGGCCUGUCAGCAUUGCCUUGGUGACUGUGAUAUGGAAUCAGGUGCUUGUUCAGAGUGCCCGGAUGGAACGUUCGGUGACCUAUGUGUGACAUGUCCCUCUACUUGUAGUGGUGGCCAGUGUGAAACGGACCGGAGGAUAUUGUAAAAAAGGUUGUGUAACGGGAAAAUUUGGCGCAUACUGUGACAAAACUUGCCCGAUGGAUUGCAGGAAUCACGUGUGUGAACAAACGGCGGGGACAUGUGCAGGCUGCACACCUGGUAAAUAUGGAUUCACCUGUGAGGAAACAUGCCCCGCCUGUUGUCCAGGGAAACGCUGUCUUCAGGCUGACGGAAUGUGUGAAGACUUGCCGAUUACAGGAUCCAAAGAGGACUGUUUGGUGGUAAAGGUGGUUUUCCCUGUACUGUUGGCCUUCGUUACAGCGCUCUGCCUUCUCAUUGUGAUAAGAAUAAAACAAAAGUACUCACCAAUUUCCAGGCUAGCAAAGCGAAAAGAACCCUUCUCUGCUGACAAUACCACAAUGGAAAUGGACCAGCACAAUGUCUACAGCAAUGCUGGGGUCGUUAUGGACUAAACUGUUGUUCGACAGAAAACAUUGUUCCCUGCCCGGACUGUAUUGCGUAUAUCCUACUUUCGGAAACACUGUCAGAAGAAGUACGGGCAAUAUUUUUUUAUUGUUGAUAUGGAAAUAUUCGGCGAGUUCAUAGAAUAUCUAAUUAUAAACUCAAAAUUUCAAUCUUAAACUUUUUGAUAUCAAAUUUCUAAAUUUUAAGCACAAUGACAUAUCUGACGUAUGGCGUCUUGCGCGUUACACAUUUGUAUCUAGUAAAAUACGUUUUUUUGUCAAGAUGUCAUUAUGUUCGCUUAGUUUUUUUAAGGAGUUUGGUGAUUUGGCUCCAAAUUAAGAUAUAUGCACCAAAACUACAUCUAUUAUAUAUUAUUAUUUUACUGGUUUGUCCUACGAGGAAUGACUUUUUGUUAGACGCUGACACAGAUAUGAUACAGAUUUGUGAUUGAUAUCUUGAGCAAGAUCGAUGUUUAUGUUGAAAUUCGGAAACAGAACACUCAAUUAAUUUACUGACAUUUUCAACUCGCAUUUCAGAUUUAUAAAAUACAUUCCUAUUGUCAUACUAUGAUAAAACAGUGUUCGAAGAUAGAUAACUCUGUAACGCCUGGUACAGCACACUACAUUUGUAUAUCGUUAUGCCAGCCAUAUUGUAGGGAUUACACAUGGAUAAUCUGUCUACUU